UACGUAGGAGGCGAGCGUUGUCCGGAUUUACUGGGCGUAAAGCGCGCGCAGGCGGCACUGUAAGUAAGGUGUGAAAUCUCCCUGCUCAACGGGGAGGGUGCAUUUUAGACUGCAGAGCUAGAGGACGGUAGAGGGGGGUGGAAUUGCUGGUGUAGCGGUGAAAUGCGCAGAUAUCAGGAGGAACACCGGUGGCGAAGGCGGGUCUCUGGGCCGAUACUGACGCUGAGGAGCGAAAGCGUGGGGAGCGAACAGG
rnacentral:rRNA from 1 species